AAGUCCUGAGGCGUCCUUCUUCCUUCUCCUCCUCCUCCUCAUGUCCGAUAACGCCGCGGCGCGGGGCGACAUGAGCACGUGCUCCGUAUCCAAGGGCUGCUUUGUUUUUAAACCAAGUACCAAGAAGAGAAAAUUGUCUCAGAGUACAGCUCAUGAUUUCGGAAUCAGAAACGAUGAUUCAGAGGAUACUGAGUUGCGGUUUGUUACUUGUCAGUCUUUAUGGAAUCAAAUUAAGUCAGAAACAGAGAAAGUACAGGAAGACUUGAAUAAGCAGUUGCUUGAUAAUCUGAUGAAUUUUUUGAGCCGGUUUCAUUCUGAAUUUCAAGAGAAGACAGCAGAAUGGACUUGCCGGAUGAAGUUCAGAGAAAUCCCCACUGCAGCUCUUGUCUUAGGUGUAAACGUUACAGAUCAUGACUUGACUUUCAGAAGUGUCUCAGACUUCCUUCAGAAUAACAUUACUCCUUAUAUAGCCUUGCUGGAAGCUAAAGACUGCCCAGGCAUAAAAAAUCUGAUGCAGAAGCUGAUGGGGCAGCUGAUGAACUGCUAUGUAGAUGUGGACUCAUUGGAAGAUGAGGACUAUGUGCAGGUUUCCCAGAAUAGAAUACGCUGUUCAAUGUCUUCUCUUAUCAAAUGGUAUGAGAGUGUAACAAAGAAAACGGAUUCUGAAACUCCAAGCAAAAAAAGAACUACUUCUACACACUGGCAGUCUCCUCCAGUUGUAGUCAUAUUCAAAGACAUGGAAAGUUUCACCACAAAAGUACUUCAAGACUUCAUAGUCAUCUGCAGUCAGCAUAUCCAUGAAUUACCUCUAGUGCUGAUUUUUGGAAUCGCUACAUCACCGAUGAUUAUCCACAGAUUACUUCCUCACUCUGUUUCCUCUCUGCUGUGCAUAGAGCUUUUCCAGUCCCUUUCCUGUAAGGACCACCUGUCUACUAUAAUUGACAAGCUGCUUCUGACAGCCCAGUUUCCCUUUAAACUGGGUGAAAAAGUUCUGCAGGUUCUCAUCAACAUAUUCUUGUACCAUGAUUUUUCUGUCCAGAAUUUUAUCAAAGGAUUUCAGCUCUGUAUUGUGGAGCACUUCUAUUCCCAGCCUCUUAGUGUACUGUGUUGCCAACUGGCAGAUCUUCAGAAGAGAGUUCAUUCUUUAUCUCAUGAUCAGUGUGAAAACAUUCGGAGACUGCCCUCUUUUAGAAGGUACGUGGAAGAGCAGGAGUCAGGGAAACAGGUUGCACUACUGACAACAGACAACUUCUUAAAGGAAGAAACACAGAAACUGCUGGAGGACUUACAUGUUUACCACGAAAAUUAUGUUUCAGUUCUGAGAUGUCUUCAUGUUUUCACAUCUUCUCUUCCAAAGUAUCCUUUGGGCAAGCAGAUCAGGGAGCUGCACUGUGCAUGUUUGGAAAACCAAGUGUGGGAGACAGAAGAGUAUGAGUCAUCUCUUCAGCUAGCAAGGAUGUUGAAUAAGUCUGAUUUGGUAACCAUGCUUCAACAAUGCAUGGAAAUUUUGCUGUCAUCUUCCGGAAAAGAGUUUGAUAAGACAGUAGAGAAGUUGAAGAAGUUCUUGACCGAGUUUGAGAAUCUAGAAGUAGCAGAAGCUUUCCAAGAACAAGAUGUGUCCAUAUCAUCACAAAAGGAGCUCCAGAAGAAGACAGACCUUUAUCAUCUUCAGAAGACUCCUAUGGGUUUGAGAAUUGAAUACAUUGGCCUAAAUAAAAAUAACUGCACAAUCACGCGUUCAAACAUCAUCAGUGAAGACAUGCCAGCAAAAAUUAAUUAUACAUGUUAAACAUAUAGAUUGUGUUCUCUAGAGAAUAACUACCUCCCAUGUAGUUUUAUGCACCACUUUUUUUUAAAGACUUUGUUGGAGUUGAAGGAAUCAAGGCGGUCUAAGAAACUGACAAAGUUUGAAAUGCUUCGUUUUGAAGUUGUUGACUAUAUAGACAGUCUUGUAAGAAAAUACCUGGUUCCUGCAGACCGCAGGACUCUGCAUGAGAUACUGUAUUUCAACACAGCUGCUGUUCUCCGUGGGCACUUGAAUGCUGCCCCGAGAACUGCACUUCAUACAGCUUUAAAUAACCCACACUGGUACCUGAAGAAUCAAGCUUUGAAGUGUGAUGGAGGAAGCAUUUCUAAUAAAGCCCCUGACAUUUGCAUAGUGUAUAAACUUCAUUUGGAGUGUGGCAGAUUAAUCAAUCUCGUUGACUGGUUAGAGGCUUUCUCAACUGUGGUGAUGGCAGGUGAGGAACCAAAUGCAGAUACAGCUUCCUCAGACCAGAUGGAUGAUAUUAUCCACGCUCGCUUUAUUCGAGCUGUUUCUGAGCUGGAGCUCUUGGGCUUCAUAAAGCCCAGCAAGCAGAAAACUGACCAUGUGGCAAGGUUGACAUGGGGGGGCUGUUAACGUGCCACCAAGGUGCUAAUAAACCUGUUCUUUCCAACACUGCAAUGGCUGUGUUCUCACUGAACCAGUCCUCGCUAACUUUGCUACUGAGUCAAAGUCAACAGUGGCUGAAUGUUGUGAGAUACAUUCCCAGUGCCUGGGCAGGCUUGAAUAGCGAUGUUGUUUUUUAAUGCUCAUCCUUCCUGUGCAAUGUACUGCACUAUUAAUGCCCAUGUUCCAAAUACUGUAUUGUUGUGCCAGUUUCAAUCUUUGAUGUGUGGUAUUUAACAGUACACUGAUAUAACUCAGGCUAGCAAGCCAAAAGGACAACACUGGCUGUGUAAGCUACAGAAGUGAUGAAGCAGUAUUAUUAACAUGCUUAUAAGCUGAUAGGACUUGAGUCAUUAUUAUAAAAUGCCUUCCAAAUCCCUGAACUUGAUUUAAAAAUAAAUAAAACAAGUACGCUAAAAACAACAAUGAACUUCCA